CUACGGGACGCUCCAGUGAGGAAUAUUGCACAAUGGGGGGAACCCUGAUGCAGCAACGCCGCGUGGAGGAUGACGCAUUUCGGUGUGUAAACUCCUUUUAUAUGUCAAGAAAAUGACGGUAGCAUAUGAAUAAGCACCGGCUAACUCCGUGCCAGCAGCCGCGGUGAAUACGGAGGGUGCAAGCGUUACUCGGAAUCACUGGGCGUAAAGGACGCGUAGGCGGGUUGGAAAGUCAGGUGUGAAAUCCUACAGCUUAACUGUAGAACUGCACUUGAAACUUCUAAUCUAGAGUAUGGGAGGGGGAGAUGGAAUUAGUGGUGUAGGGGUAAAAUCCGUAGAUAUCACUAGGAAUACCUAAAGCGAAGGCGAUCUCCUGGAACAUUACUGACGCUAAGGCGUGAAAGCGUGGGGAGCAAACAGGAUUAGAUACCCGCGUAGUC
rnacentral:rRNA from 1 species